GUAUUAUGAUGGAUCAAAUAGAAAUACAAAUCGUCCUCUGACAUAAAGAUUGAAUUUAUCAUAAAUCUGAAUAUCUAAAAACAAUAUUAAGGGCGAGCUAGCUAUCAUAUUCGAUGAGUUGCUUUGGAGGUUGUGGGUCCCAAGACGUGUUGCAGUUGCUUUACCGGCUUUCAAAGAAAGGCUGGUUUGGUUUGCACCCCAAUUGCAGGGCAUAAUCGACAUGAUUA